UUUAAAAACUUAUUUAACAAAUAUGUAUUGAUAGAUGAAUAUGUUCUAGACACUCUUCAUUGUACAGAAAGACUUUCUUAGCUCCUAAGGUUGACUUGGAAUGCCAUUAUUUGUUCUAUUGAGUGUUCGCAAUUUGUCAGACACAAGCGAAAGACACAUAUUGUACUUUAAAAAAAAAGAAAAAAAAAGAGGCAUUGUCUGCUCCUUCACAGAGCCUAUAUUUUAGUGGGGGAAUUACUGAUUUCAGGAAAUGCAAGUAAAAUGAACAGAAGGAAAUCCACACUUGGAAACAUUAUAAUAAUAUUGAAGAAAACCUAGGACAGAGAGAAAAAGCUAAUAGUAGCCAAAGAGAAAAGAAAGAUGACUUACAGAGUUUGCAACACUAUAAAGAGUAUAAACAACCAGCAGAAUAAUAUCCUCCAAGUUCCAAGAAAGGAGGAAAACAUCCUGUCAAUUUAGAGUUAGAUACUCAGCUAAACUGUCACCAAAGAUUUUGGAAAAAAUAAAGGUAUUUGAAACAAG
rnacentral:lncRNA from 10 species